GACGAACGCUGGCGGCGUGCCUAAUACAUGCAAGUUGAGCGCUGAAGGUUGGUCCUUGUACCAACUGGCUGAGCAGCGAACGGGUGAGUAACGCGUGUGGAAUCUGCCUUUUAGCGGUGGACAACAUUUGGAAACGAAUGCUAAUACCGCAUAAAAACUUUAAACACAAUUUUUAAGUUUGAAAUAUGCUAUUGCAUCACUCAAAGAUGAUCCCGCGUUGUAUUAGCUAGUUGGUGAGGUAAAGGCUCACCAAGGCGAUGAUACAUAGACGACCUGAGAGGGUGAUCGGCCAAAAUGGGAAUGAGAAAAGGGACAAAAGCAUAAGGGAGGGAGCAGUAGGGAAUCUUCGGAAAAGGAAGAAAGGCUGAACGAGAAAAGACGAGUGAGUGAAGGAGGUUAUCGGAUCGUAAAACUCUGUUGGUAGAGAAGAAAGUUGGUGAGAGUGGAAAGAUCAUAAAGUGACGGUAACUACACAGAAAGGGACGGCUAACUACGUG
rnacentral:rRNA from 1 species